GGGGGCUUAUUUUUUGAGGGGAAUGUUGUCUGGCUCGAGGACUUCUGCUCGAAGAAGAUGAUGAUGAUGAUCUUGUUUCGAUUUUCAUCAUUAAUCUUCUUACAACAGCAGAUCUCUGUUGGUAGCUAGUGUCGUCGGACCAGGCUUCAUUCCCCCCAAUUAUAUAUUGCUCCG
rnacentral:pre_miRNA from 1 species